UAGGGAAUCUUCCACAAUGGACGAAAGUCUGAUGGAGCAACGCCGCGUGAGUGAAGAAGGUUUUCGGAUCGUAAAGCUCUGUUGUUGGUGAAGAAGGAUAGAGGCAGUAACUGGUCUUUAUUGACGGUAAUCAACCAGAAAGUCACGGCUAACUACGUGCUAG
rnacentral:rRNA from 1 species